GCGGGGGGGAAGGUGCUGCCUAUAGAGCGCCUGGGACGCGGCGCGGGGAGCUGCAGCAGCAGCCGCGGCAGCUGCCGGGCGGCGCGGGGCCGGGCCGGCUCCUGCCUCCCUCCCUCCGCAGGAAUCCCGCUCCGGAGCGCGGCGGGGUCCGCAGCCCGCGCCCGAGCUGGACGGCGGAGGCCGGGCGUGCGGGGCGCGCAGGUGGACAGCUCCGGCAGGGGCCGGCCCAGCUCCCUGCUCUGUCCUAGGGCCGGGGCUCGGGGCAGAGAAGAUGGUUUGACUAUGAAAUGUUGCCUAGGAAAAGCCCUCAUGCUUUCAGGUGGCAGUGUAGAAGCCAAGAACAAAAGUUGGCAGAAAUUAUUUUUCUCUCCGUGAGAAAAUGAAGAGAGUGUACACAUGACUAAGCACAGGAACCUGAAAUACCACAGACUCACUGAACAGCUGUCCCAGUUGACCUGCACCACAAUGAUACACUCACAUUGCUAUGGAUCCCAGAUGUAGAAAUAGAUUUGGGGUGAAGGUAUGGUAUCAUAAUUAACAAAUUUACCUGAUGCCCUGACAGUUCAUCUCACAAAUGGUUAGAAUGCAUUGUGGGGGGUGCAUAUUAUGUGAACUCCCCAAACAUUGUUUGAAUGGUAGAAUGCUUAUGCAUUAACAUAGCAUAUCAAUAAAUACUAAGGUAUGCAAUUAAAUUAGGAAAUA
rnacentral:lncRNA from 1 species